UACGUUUUAAUUUUUAACUCUAUUUGGUGGGACGUCUUUUAUCUGUUUUUUGGUGKUUUUAUGUAUAUUUUUUGUAAAAUAUUUUAAUUUAUUAUUUUUUUUUUGGAGAUGUCAAAAAUUUGUUUUUUGAACUGGAUUAGUACCCAGGUAAUCAAAAUUUAAUAAUUCGGGAGUAAAGUUUUGUUUAAACCGAAAAAAUAUUGACUGACUUUAGAUUUUUCUUUGGAACAUGUGUUUUACUGGAGAGCCCUCUUUUUUAGUGAAUUUUGUUGGCACAUGUAUGAUUGUUUAGUUUUUAUUUUGUUUUGUAAUGCUUUUUGUUUUGGCUUUUAAAACAGAUAUAUACUUGGCUUAUGAAUUUAUUUUUCAUGUGUUACUAUUAUAAAUUUUUUUUGGAUUGAUUUUUUAUUUUUUUUUGAAAUUGGAAAAGAAAGUAAUUUUUUUUUUAUGUUUUAAKGAAUUUAAAAAAAAGG
rnacentral:rRNA from 1 species